GCUAAAUCUGCCAGCAUUUCAGCAGGGACACUUGCACAACUUAAUAUAUGGCAUGCCAGAAAAAUCGUUGCCACAAGUCAACGUGGCUUAAAUGAAAGCAAGUUCAAGUGAAAAAGUUGACUUUAAUGGGACUAACAGCUGAGAAGACGACUCCUCAGAUGCGGAGCCACUAGGCAGAUGGAUGCUUACAUGCAUUUUAACAGACCAAUAUGCUAAUGUGGAGCUGCCAACGAACAGAACAAGACUGAAGAAUAUUUGCUGGAUUCAAGUUUUAGCUUGCUGUAUUUCCUCCCACCUACGACGACAGGGCUGUAGCUUUGAUUUGUUUGUUUUCCGUUUUAUUCGGAGACCGGUAACCGGAGGGAGAGGAAGCGGGGGACCUGCGCACGCCGAGGAAAAUCCCGGGUCCAGGAGCACAGGCAAAGCAC